GCCGGGAAAGGGCAGGACCCGUGCGUGUGCAGGUCAGUGUGGUGCCUGAUGAGUCUGGGUGUCUACCCACCAACACCACCGGCCCCAGUGUUAAUGCCCAGCUCCCGUGAUCUGUCCCAUGGGCAGGCCGAGGCAGUGCCCGCGGCCACAGUCAUUCCAGGGAGGGGGUCUUGUCUUGUACAAGAGCCGAGGGGUGUUGGGGGUGCAGAGUGUGUCUGCCUCAGUGAGAGGAAGGUGCGGAUCACCAAGUGCAGUGGACAAAGCAGCGAGAUUCUGUGGGGGGCCCGGGAGCGGGGCCAGGGAGGGAGUACAGCCCACACGGGGCCCAGAGGCAAGGCCAGGUGGAGGCUGAGGGGGGAGGGACUGCGGAGAUGGUGGGGAGAGUCAGGCUCGCUCUCUGUGUCUGAAUCUCAGCUUGGACACCACUAGCUGGUGGCCCUGGGAGAUCUGUUCUCGUUGAGUUUCACCUUCCUUACCUGUAAAAUGGGAUGACGAUAACGCCCACCCUGCAGGCCUCCCGUGGGAACUAAAACGUGAUGCCUGGCACACGGCGCUUGCUCAGAAAACAUUACCUGUCCUUGUUACUUUUCCACUCAGUUUCCAAGGUUGAGCUUGUUGUGGAUUCACGGGCAGCUGUGAGAAGUAACACAGUCUCCCCCAACGGAAGCAUCUCACAGUGCGCCACUGGCGGGGGCUCCCCAGCGACGGAGCUUGGGCACAGAGUGUUCCCACCACCGAGAGUCUCCCACCUGCCGUCCUGUGCCACCACAGUGCUCUCCCGCCUCCACCCCACCCUGACCCUGGGGACCACAAACAUGGUACCUGUUUCUAUAGCUUUGUCAUUUUGAGAAUGCCAUACAAACGGAAUCCUCUGGUGUGUAAACUUGUGUUGUUGUUGUUGUUGUUGUUGUUUUGUCACUUAGCAGAAUGUUCUGGAAGUCCAUCCAGGAUGUUGCAUGUAUGGACAGUCCCUUCCAUUCCACUGCUAAGCAGCGUCCGUGUGUGGAUGGGCUCCAGCUGGUCUGAGCACCUGCCCGUUGAAGGACAUCCGGGCUGUUUCCCAUUUGGGGUUAUUAUGAAUAAAGCUGCCAUAAACAUUUGUGCACAGGUUUUUGCAUGAAUGCAAGUUUCUGUUCUCUGACAUAAUGCCCAGGGGUGCAACUGACAGGUUGUUUAGUGGCUGCAUGUUUAGUUUUUAAAGAAACCACCAAACUGUUUUCCAAAGUGGCUGCACCAUUUUGUAUUCCUGCCAGCCCUACCUGAGGGAUCCAGCGUCCCCCUGUCUGCAUCAGCAUUUGGUGGCGUCACUAUUUUUCAUUGUAUCCAUUUCAAUGGGAGUGUAAUGGGGUCUCAUUGCAAUUUUAAUCUGUGCUUCUUCAAUGAAUAAGUAUGUUUUUGUCUUUUAUGUGAUUAAUUGCCAGCUGUAAGCGCUCAGCUGACAUGUUUCUUCGUGUCAUCAGUUCAUCCCCUAAUUAGAUAUUUGUGUUCUUACUGUUGAGUUUGAGAGUUCUUUAUGUAGCCUAGUUACUAGUCCUCUGUCAGAUUUUCAAUUUACAAAUAUUUUCUCCUAGUCUGUAGCUUAUCUUUACAUCUUCUUCCCAGGAUCUUUUGUGAAGCAAAAAUUUAUGUUCACACAAAAACCUGUACCCAAAUGUUUGUAGCAGCUUAAUUCAUGAAAUGGCCCCAAACAGGAAACUGCCCGAUGUUUUUCGACAGGUAGGCACUUAAACAAAGUGUUCCAUUUUUUUGACUUUUUGUCAAUCCAGUGACAUCUGUUGCCUACCACCUGCUCAGAAGUCUGAACAUUUCUGCCCCCUGCAUCCUGGUAUCGGAGGUGCCAGGGAAAACACAACACAGACAAGCAAUGGGUGAAACAAUGCUUUCCUCGCACAGAGACGAGACUUGGCAAAAGCUGCUUCCAUAGUGGGCAUCGGCACGCCCAUGGCCAGCAGGCUCCUCAUGGCAGUUGGUGCAGGGCCGUGGCCUGCAUGCACUUAUCUUGUGCUGCAUCAGGUGGACCCUGUCCCCUCCCUGCAGGUGACAGAGAUAGCAGUGGGCUUGGCCAGGUGCUGUAUGGCGCACACACCUAAGCAGAACAGAGGAGGGCACAUCGCAUCUGAAACAAGGAAAGAUAUCCACACGAGGUGACAAGUCCAGCACAGGCUUUGUGGUACCUUUCCAUCUUGAUAAGGAAAUGUUCCAGGCCCAGCGCUCCUUCCUAUGCAGCCGAGUGUGGGGAUCAGAAGAUUGCAAGCAGGAGACUGUCUUUCCCAACAUAUUUUGACUAAGCCCAGUUUACCCAUGUUUCCUUUUAUGGAUUGUGCUUUUGUGUCAAGUCUAAGAAUUCCUAUGUUUUUUUUUUUUCUAAAAAUUUUGUACUUUUACAUUCCACACGAAGUCCAUGAUACAUUUUGAAUUAAUUUUUGUAUAAGGUAUGAGUCUUAGGUGGACGUUCGUGUUUUUGCCUAUGAAAAAGCAUUCUCUAUGCAUUUAAUGCUAUGCCUUUUCCUCUCAGCACUGCAUUAGCUGUAUCCCAAAAUUUUGAUAUGUUGUCUUUUUGUCUUAAUUCAGUUCAUUUUUUUUUUAUUUCACUCAAGACUUCUUUGACUUGUGGGAUUAUUUUGUUUAGUUUCCAAGUGUUUGAAGAUCUUUCUGUUAUUGGACACUAGUUGGAUUCCAUUGUGGUCAGACUAUGCACUCUGUCUGAUUUUGAUUAUUUUAAAUUUGUUGAGAAUGUUUUAUGUCCUAGAUUAUAUGGCCUAUACUGGCAUAUGUUUCAUGGAUAUUUGGAAAGAAUGUGUAUAAUGCCAUUGUUGCAUGGAAUGUUCUAUAAAUGUUAGUGAGACCCUAAUUGGAUUGAAUUGUUGGCUGAUGGUGUGAUUGAGCACCCCAGGGUUUUUGCUGGUUUUCUAAGCAUUCCAACAAUUGUUAAGAAACUCUCCAACUCUAUUUGUAGGGUAUUUUCUAUUUUUCCUCUCAGUUCUAUCACUCUUGGCUUCACAUAUUUUUGUAGCUGUUUUUGGUGCAAACACAGUUAGCAUUGCUGUGUCUUCUUUUAUCACUAUAUAAUGUCCCUCUCCGUCUCUGUAAUUUUCUUUGCUCUGAGGUCUACUUUAUCUGGCAUUAAUAAAACCAAUUCUGCUUUUUUAAGAUUCAUGUUUGCAUGAUAUAACUUUUUCUACCCUUUCACUUUCAACCUGCCUAUACCAUUAUUAUAUUCUAAAUGAUUUUCUUGUAGAGAGACACCAUAUUAUUGAGCCAUGUUUUUAAAUCCACUUUGAUAAUGUCUGUCUUUUUAUUGGUGUAUUUAGAGCAUUUACAUUUAAUGUAGCUUUUAAUAUGUUAGGGCUUGAGUUUGUCAUUUUAUGUUUUGUUUUCAAUUUAUUCCCUCUGCUUUUUUUAUUUCUCUUGUUUAUACCUCUGUCUUCCUAUGGGUUACUGGAACAGAUUUUAGAAUUCCAUUUUUAGUUAACUAUUGUGUUUAGACGUUUAUCUUUGUAACUUCUAAAUUUCUUUUUUUAUUGUUUCUUUCUUGUUUAGGGGCCUGCCAUUAGCCAUUUAGCCUUUUGGGGUAGGUGUGCAGGUGACAAAUUCUCUUAGUUGUCUUUCCUCUAGGAAUGUCUUUAUUUUCCUUUAAUUCCUGAAGGACUUUUUUACUGAAUGAAGGAUUCUGGGUUGACAGUUCUUUUCUUUCAGCACUUGAAGUAAUUUUUGCCACUUUCUUCUGGCUUCUGUGGUUUCUUUUCUUUUUUAAAACAAAAAUGUUUUAAUGUUCAUUUAUUUUUGAGAGAGAGUGCGAGUGGGGAAGAGACAGUGAGAGAGGGAGACACAGAAUCCAGAACAAGCUCCAGGUUCUGAACUGUUAGCACAGAGCCCAAUGUGGGGCUCAAACCCACAAACUAUGAGAUCAUGACCUGAGCCGAAGUUGGACGCUUAACUGACUGAGCCACUCAGGCAUCCCAGCAUCUGUGGUUUCUGAUAAGAAAUCCAUUGUCAUUAAAAUUAUUUUCCCCUAUAGGUAAGGUGUCUUCUGUCUCUCUUUAAAGUAUAUAUACUUUAUGUAUACUUUAGUUUUCAAGAGGUUUGACUGUGUUGAGCCUUGGUGUGGAUUUCUUUGGAGUGGAGUUUAUCCUGUUUGAGAUUCACUAAAUUUGUUGAAUCUAGUUUAUGUCUUUUGCCAAAUUUGGGAAAUUUUCAGCCAUUAUUUUUCUGAGUACGUUUUCAGUCACGUCCUAAUUCUCUUCCUCCAGGGACUCCAAAAACAUGAAUGGUAGAUCUUUUGUUAUAAUCUACAUGUCCCUGAAACUCUGUUCAUUAAAAAUGUUUUUUUUUCUCUGUUUAGAUUGAGUAGUUUUAUUGUUCAUCUUCAAGUUCACUGAUUAUUUUCACUGAUUCCUCCACACUUCAGUAGAGCCCAUCCAUUGAGUUUUUUAUAUCUGUUAUAUUUUCAUUUUUAAAAUUUCCAUUUUCUUCUUUAUAUGUUCUGUUUCAUUGCUGAAACCCUCUAUUUUAUUUCCUGAUACUUUCUGUCUUUUCAUUUGUUUCAAGCAUAUUUGUGAUUGUUUGUUGAAACAUUCUUAUGAUGGCUGCUUUAAAAUAUCUGUCAGAUAAUUCUAAAAUGUCGAUAUCUCAGUGUUGGCAUCUAUUAAUGAUCUUUUCUCAUUCAGUUUGAGAUACUCCUGGUUCUUGGCAUGAUAAGUGACUUUCACUUGAAAUUUGGACGUUUUUGUUACUAUGUUCUAAGAAUCUUACCUAAAUUUCUGUUGCAGGUGGCUUUCUCUGGCAUUGCUGUGGCAGGGGAAGUGGAAGGUAUCACCUCAUUCAUACCCAGUGGGUGGAUGCCUCAUUACUGCUGGGUAGGUGUGGGAGUUCUGGUUUCCCAUGAAACUUCCACUAAUACCUCCAUGGCUGGGUGGGAGUGCCUCAUUACUGCUCCCCACAUGGCCUCUACUGACACCUUAGGAAUGGGCCAUAGCCUCAUUACUGUUGGGUGUUAGUGAAGACUCCAACUCCCCACCAGGCCUCCUCUGACACCACCUUAUUGGGGCGCCUCCUUACAGCCUCUUGAGGAUAGGAGUAUAGGCUCUCCACUCAGUAUUUGCUGGCAUGGGUGGGGUAGGGCCACGGGUUUUCUGAGGUGUUUGGUUGGAAUAGAGCAAUUAUAGUCUAAAAGUUCUCUGUCUUACUAGGAUGCUCCUUUCCCUGUCCUUUGGCUAGAGAGAAAAGGGAUUCCGCCCCACCCCCCUCCCCCCACCCAAAUCUGUACCAUUGACACUUCUGGACUGCCAGCAUGAUCAGCUCCAAGUCUGGGAUGUAUGAGGCAAAAAGAAAAGCCAGGAAAAUCACCACUAUGUAGUUCCCUGGGUCUCAAGAUCCCUAGCUGGUCUUUCUUCUCCUUAGACUUUUCAGCCUUCUCAUACAUGUUUUAUGUAUAAGGUCCAGGGUUUUUAGUUGUACCUAGCAGGGAGAAAAGAAAAAAAGCCCAUCCACUCCAUCUUCCCGGAAGCAGAAAUCUCUUAUUGUUACUACUUUUUAAGAAAAAAAUAAGGUGCACAAAAUACCCACCCAGUCAUGGAAGAGCAUGUAUCUCCAAAUGUCUUUCUGAAAAGACUGGACAGAAAUACACCAAAAGUUAACAGUGAAGAGAUAUAUACAUAUACAUAUAUACGUAUGUAUGUAUAUACAUAUAUGUGUAUACGUAUAUACAUAUAUAUAUCCCUUUCCUGUAAUUCUCACAUUGUUUAUUAUAAGCAUGUACUAUUUAUAAUUUUAAGUAAGCAACAAAAAUUUCUACUUUUAAAAACAAGCUGCUGGAAAACAAGUGGUUGAGAAGAUAAAAUUAUGGAGAAUAAUGAAGCAGAAAAAAAGAGGGAAGUAAAGGCAAAAGAUCAUGAUACAAGACUUCAAGAACUCAGUGACUUAUUAAAAAGGCAUACCAUCCAAAUCAUAGGAGUCCCAGAAGAUGAAGAGAGAGAAAAAGGGGCAGAAGGUUUAUAUGAGCAAAUUAUGGCAGAAAACUUUUCUAAUCUGGGGAAGGACCCAGACAUCAAAAUCCAAGAAGCGCAGAGAACUCCCAUCAGAUUCAACAAAACCCAACCAGCACCAAGGCAUAUCAUAGUCAAAUUCACAAAGGAAUUUUCACAAGGAAAGAAUUAUGAAAGCAGCAGGGAAAAAUAGUCCUUAACCUACAAAGGAAGACAGAUCAGGUUCGCUGUCGACCUAUCCACAGAAACUUGGCAGCCCAGAAAGGAGUGGCAGAAUAUAUUCAACGUGCUGAAACAGAAUAAUAUGCAGCCAAGAAUUCUUGAUCUAGCCAGACUUUCAUCCAAAAUAAAAGGAGAGAUGAAGAGUUCCCCAAACAAAAACUAAAGGAGCUUGUGACCACUUAACCAACACUGCAAGAAAAUUUAAGGGGAACUCUUUGAGUGGAGAAAAGACAAAACAAAAGAAAACAAAAAGACCAAAAGCAAGAUUAGAAAGGACCAGAGAACAUCAACAGAAACACCAACUCAACAGGCAAUACAAUGGUGUUAAAUUCAUAUCUGUCAGUACUUACUGUAAAUGUCAGUGGAUGAAAUGCUCCAAUUAAAAGACAUAGGGUAUCAGAAUGGAUAAGAAAACAAGACCCAUCUAUAUGCUUCUUACAAGAGACAAGGUACCUAAAGAUACCUGAACAUUGGAAAUAAGGGGAUGGAGAACCAUCUAUGAUGCUAAUGGUCAUCAAAAGAAGGUUGGAGUAGCCAUGCUCCAUAGCCAUAUCAGACAGUAGCCAUAUCAGACAGACUUAGAUUUUAAAAUAAAGACUGUAACAAGAGAUGAAAAAGGGGAUUGUAUCAUAAUUAAGGGUUCUAUCCACCAAGAAGAUCUAACAAAUUAUACAUAUUUAUAUCCCCCAAUAUGGAAUCACCCAAAUAUAUAAAUCAAUUAAUCGCAAACAUAAAGAAACUCAUUGAUAAUAAUACCAUAACAGUAGGGACUUCAACACCCCGCUUACAAAUCAUUGAGGCAGAAAAUCAACAAGGAAACCAUGGCUCUGAAGGACACAUUGGACUGGAUGGACUUAACAGAUAUAUUCAGAACAUUUCACACUAACGCAGCAGAAUACACAUUCUUCUCUAGUGCACAUGGAACAUCUCCAGAAUAGAUUACAUGCUGGGUCACAAAUCAGCCCUCAACAAGUCCAAAAGGAUAGAGAUCAUACUGUGCAUAUUUUCAGACCACAUUGCUAUGAAACUCAAAAUCAACCAUAAGAAAAAAUUUGGAAAGACCAUGAAUACUUGUAGAUUAAAGAACAUUCUACUGAAGAAUGAAUGGGUUAGCCAAGAAAUUAAAGACGAAACUUAAAAGUACAUGGAAACCAAUGAAAACGAAAACACGACAGCCCAAAAUCUCUGGGAUGCAGUAAAGGUGGUCAUGAGAGGGAAUAUAUAGCAAUCCAGACCUUCCUAAAGAAGGAAGAAAGUUCUCAAAUAUACAACCUCACCUUACAGCUAAAAAAGCUGGAAAAAGAACAGCAAAUAAAGCCCAAAACCAGCAGAAGUAAGGAAAUAAUAAUGAUUAGAGCAGAAAUCAAUGAUAUCAAAAUAAAAAAACAAACAAACAGUAGAACAGAUCGAUGAAACCAGGAGCUGAUUCUUUGUAAGAAUUAACAAAAUUGAUAAACCCCUAGCAGAAGAAAAGGGAAAGGACCCCUCCCCCUGCCAAAAAAUAAAAUCAUGAAUGAAAGAGAUCACAACCAGCACCACAGAAAUACAAACAAUAAUAAGAGAAUAUUAUGAGCAUUAUAUGCCAACGAAUUGGGCAAUCUGGAAGAAAUGGAAAAAUUCUUAGAAACAUAUAAACUACCAAAACUGAAACAGGAAGAAGUGGAAAAUUUGAACAGUCCCGUAACCAGUAAAGAAAUUGAGUUAGGAACAAAAAAAAAAUCUCCUAAUAAACAAAAGUCCAGGGCCAGAUGACUUUCCAGGAGAAUUCUACCAAACAUUUAAAGAAGAGUUAACACCUAUUCUUUUGAAGCUAUUCCAAAAAAUAGAAAUGGAAGGAAAACUCCUAAACUCAUUCUAUGAGGCCAGCAUUACCUAGAUUCCAAAACCAAAGACCCCCACUAAAAAAGAGAACUACAGUUUCCCUAAUGAACAUGGAUGCAAAAAUUCUCAACAAGAUACUAGCAAAACAGAUGAAACAAUAGAUUAAAAUAAUUAUUUACCACAGUCAAGUGGGAUUUAUUCCUGGGAUGCAGGGCUGGUUCAAUACCCACAAAUCAGUGUGAUACAUCAGAUUAAUAAAAGAAAGGAUAAGAGCCAUAUGAUCCUCUCAAUAGAUGCUGAAAGAGCAUUUGACAAAAUACAGCAUCCUUUCUUGAUAAAAACCCGCAAGCAAGUAGGGAUAGAGGGAUCAUACCUCAAGAUCAUAAAGACCAUAUACAAAAGAGCCACCACUAAUAUCAUCCUCAAUGGGGAAAAACUGAGAGCUUUCCCCUUAAGGUCAAGAAAAUGACAAGGAUGUCCACUCUUACCACUGUUAUUCAACAUAGUUGGAAGUCCUAGCCUCAGCAAGCAGACAACAACAACAACAACAACAA